rnacentral:rRNA from 1 species
GUAGGGAAUAUUGCACAAUGGAGGAAACUCUGAUGCAGCGACGCCGCGUGAGUGAUGAAGGCCUUCGGGUCGUAAAGCUCUGUCGCAGGGGAAUAACACAAUGAAGGUACCCUGUAAGAAAGGAUCGGCUAACUUCGUGCCAGCAGCCGCGGUAAGACGAGGGAUCCUAGCGUUGUUCGGAAUCAUUGGGCGUAAGGCGGAUGUAGGUGGCUAUGUAAGUCAGAUGUGAAAGCCUGGGGCUCAACCCCAGAAGUGCGUUUGAUACUGCGUAGCUUGAGUGUCGGAGAGGUUACUAGAAUUGUUGGUGUAGUGGUGAAAUACGUAGAUAUCAACAGGAAUACCGGAGGCGAAGGCGGGUAACUGGCCGAACACUGACACUGAGAUCCGAAAGCGUGGGGAGCAAACAGGAUUAGAAACCCCGGUAGUCC